rnacentral:tRNA from 1 species
GCCUCGUUAGCGCAGAAGGGAAGCGCGUCAGUUUCAUAAUCAAAUGGAAAAAUCUGAAGGUCGUGAGUUCGAUCCUCUCACGGGGCA